GGGUGCGAUCAUACCAGCGCUAAUGCGCCAGAUCCAAUCAGAACUCCGCAGUUAAGCGCGCUUCGGCCAAAGUAGUACUGGGAUGGGUGUCCUCUCAGGAAGUCCUAGUGUUGCACCCU
rfam:Picea glauca, whole genome shotgun sequence.